GGCUGGAAGUUCCAAUACUAUGUUGGAUAAGAGUAGCAAGAGUGAACAUCCUUGCCCUGUUUCUGAUCUUAGGGAAAAAGCAUUCAGUCCUUCAACAUUAACUACAAUGUAAGACUUUUACAACUGCUGCUUAUCAAGCUUACCUGGGUGUCUCGGAAAACUGAAGAUUCUGAUUUAAUGGGCCUGAAGUGGGGCUUGAGAACCUGCAGUCUAACCAGCCCCAGGCGCCGCUGGUUCUGUCAACCAGGGGACCCUACUUUGAGGAACCAGGCCUCCUACUCCGCAGACCCUCUGUAGUGUGCGAUACUCAUUCCCAAGCAAGCAGCACAACUUAAGAGAAUUUGAGAAGUGAAUUUAUUCAGAGAAGCUCUAUGUACAUGUUCCAAGAGAUUUUAACUUCAAGAAAUAAUUAUAUUUGAGCCAAGAGGAAAUUGAGAAACAUUGACGAUAAAUCCCCAAUACUACUAAGAAUCAGCCUGUCAAGUUCAACAAGGAGCCCGGCCGAGGUUGUAAUUUGAAUUGCAUUAGAAGAGACUAGUUUGAAGAGGACUGACAGUGUUACAUGACUGAGUCUUCCUCUCCUUGGACGUGGCUUCUUCUUUCUCUUAUAAAGAUGAGCAUCUUUCUUCAUGCAAACGAUGCACUUUUGCAGAAGUGAACGAAGUAAUCUUCAAAAGAAGUUGAAUGCUUGGCCAGGAUGUCUUAGAUCAGCCCAACAUCAGUUGUAACACAGAGAGAGGCAGAGACACAGGCAGAGAGAGAAGCAGCUCCAAGUCCCCAACGUGGGGCUUGAUCCCCGGUCUCCAGGAUCAUACCCCGGGCCAAAGGUGACGCCAAAUCGCUGGACCACCAGGACUGCCCACAUUUCUUUUCUCAGUUAAUCAUUUAAGAACAUUGUACACAACAUCUGACCAAUAUUCCGCAACUGCCAAGGUUGUGAAAGACAAGGAAAAUCUGUCACAGACCCCAGAAGAGACUAAGGAGACAUGACUAUGGUGUGAUUUCCUAGACUGGAAUCUCAAGCAGAAAAAGGACACUAAUGAAAUAAGACAAGAAACAGGAAGUCCCAUCAUGCUAAAAAACAAGGCCUGGCGGUAUUUUGCAGGUGUUUUAUUAUCUGCAGGCACAUAAAGGAUGAGAAGGAAAACCUAUGGGCCUCGUUACAGUUUACAUGUUUCCUGAUGAGAAGUGAUGAGCUCCUGAACAGCUCCUGCAACAGGGGGGAUGAAGAGAAGAUACAAGGUGGAGGUCAUGUGGAGGAGGUUACAACUCAGUCAAGUCAAACAUGGCAGGAGGAAGGAGCCCUUGAGCUCCCCGUCUCCCCAGCCAGCCCAUCACGGUCAGAGUGAGAGGUCCCUCAGGAUCCUGUAGUGCUCUUGGAAUAUCUCUGCCAGCCCUUACCCUUCGUCCAUGGUCAUGUGGUGGUGAAUUUGUCUGUCUUUCCUCCUAGACUUUCAGGCCCCCGGUACCUCCACAGAGCCUGACACAAUGCAGUCAUCCUGUUACUGAGUAAAUGAAGGAAUGUGCAAAUAAAAAUAAAACAAAGGUGCCAUAUAUAUUUAAAAUGACCUUCUCUAAGGUGUUCAACUGCUGGUCAUGGUAUCAAAGUUCGAAUUCCUCACUGACUACAAGAGAAAGUGAAAACACUGCCCUCUUUCUUCUUCAACUUAUUUGUAAUUCUUCUUUACUCAUCAUCAUCAAUGCAUAGUUUAGCCCAUAACUGAUCUGCUUAUGGAGUUCCAACCCUUAAGCAAAGCCUGAAGGCUAAUGUCAUUAUCUCUUAUAGAUUUUGAUAUCAAUUAUA